rnacentral:rRNA from 1 species
UGGGGAAUAUUGCACAAUGGGGGAAACCCUGAUGCAGCGACGCCGCGUGAAGGAAGAAGGUAUUCUUUUCGUAAAGUUCUUUCCUAUGGGAAGAAAAGGACAGUACCAUAAAAGAAAGCCCCGGCUAAAUACUUCCCACCACCCGCGGAAAGACGUAUGGAGCGAGCGUUGUCCGGAAUUAUUGGGCGUAAAGGGUACGCAGGCGGUUUAAUAAGUCGAAUGUUAAAGAUCGGGGCUCAACCCCGCAAAGCAUUGGAAACUGAUAAACUUGAGUAGUGGAGAGGAAAGUGGAAUUCCUAGUGUAGUGGUGAAAUACGUAGAUAUUAGGAGGAAUACCAGUAGCGAAGGCGACUUUCUGGACACAAACUGACGCUGAGGUACGAAAGCGUGGGGAGCAAACAGG